CUGGUUCAUGCCGCAUAUUCAGCCCUGAAAACUGAAACAAGCACCAUCCCUGAGCCUUCGGCCAGCCCGGCAAGAACUGUGGUCCCUCCUUUCUGGGAGCUGGUGGACCCAGGACAGUGGAGCCAUCCGUCCCCGGGGCCAGAGUAGCGCCAGGGCGAGGAAAACAACAGCUGUUCAGACGCGGGCUCCCUGGGGGCUCUGCCAGGUGGGAUGCAGCGCCGUCCACGGGAGGCAGUGUGGAGCCGGAGCCAAUGCGUCACAUGCCACGCUCGUCUCCAUCCUGAUGCGCACGCGGGACAGAAAGCCAGCCUUCCUCACCGGACGCAGUCGUGGUUCGAGUCACACGAACCACGAAGCGUGGCCUGGACUCGGGAGGCAGGGCGACUGCCCCCAUGUCAGAGGUCACCACGGGAAGGGGCAGAUUGUCUGUCUCCAGAAGGGCCUCUGGUCGCUACCUUUUGUCCCCUUUGGCAGUGUGACAAACCCUACAGCAUGCACUCCCUGCUGCUUCUCUUUCGGCAGGAUGAAGGCGAUCAGGUGCAGAUAAUACGGCAGCCUGAGAAAGAAGACGUUGACCACACCGAAGGCUCGGUUUCAGGAGCCCAGGGGCCCGCGCUGGCCCAGCCACCCGAGCGGGGGCUCUUCGCCGCCGUCCCGCCUGUGGAGGACCCCCUAGAAUCCCUCCCGCUCCAGGGCGCGCUGCAGGUCGGAGGCCAGGACGUGUGGUCCAUGAGGGCCCAGCGUGUGCGCCCAGCUCCCACGGACUCCUGGAUGCUGGAGUCCACGGUCCUCACCAUCCCCGGGC
rnacentral:lncRNA from 1 species